rfam:Picea glauca, whole genome shotgun sequence.
GAGAGCACAGUACGAUGAAAGUUGUGAGUUGUGUUCGGGGGGGAGUUAUUGUCUAUCAUUGGCCUCUAUGGUAUAAUCAGUCAGGGAGGCCUGAGAAACAAUGGUUUACCCUGU